CUGAGUUCGGGGGCAAUCCCAGUCCCGACCUCCAACCCUUUGUGGACAUAUCUUGUUGCUUCGGGGGCGACCCUGCCGUUCGCGGCAUUCCCCCCGGAGGUCAUCAAAACAUUGCAUUACUACGUCGGAGUAAAAAGUUAAUUUAAUA
rnacentral:misc_RNA from 1 species